AUUGAACGCUGGCGGCAGGCCUAACACAUGCAAGUCGAGCGGGGUUUUCGGACCUAGCGGCGGACGGGUGAGUAAUGCGUAGGAAGCUACCCGAUAGAGGGGGAUACCGGUUGGAAACGACUGUUAAUACCGCAUAAUGUCUACGGACCAAAGUGUGGGACCUUCGGGCCACAUGCUAUCGGAUGCGCCUACGUGGGAUUAGCUAGUUGGUGGGGUAAUGGCUCACCAAGGCGACGAUCCCUAGCUGGUUUGAGAGGAUGAUCAGCCACACUGGAACUGAGACACGGUACAGACUCCGACGGGAGGCAGCAGUGGAGAAUAUUGGACAAUGGGCGCAAGCCUGAUCCAGCCAUGCCGCGUGUGUGAAGAAGGCCUUCGGGUUGUAAAGCACUUUCAGUAGGGAGGAAGGGUGUUGUGUUAAUAGCACAGCAUUUUGACGUUACCUACAGAAGAAGCACCGGCUAACUCUGUGCCAGCCGCCGCCGUAAGAC
rnacentral:rRNA from 1 species